AUACAGAGGGUGCGAGCGUUAAUCGGAUUUACUGGGCGUAAAGCGUGCGUAGGCGGCUUUUUAAGUCGGAUGUGAAAUCCCUGAGCUUAACUUAGGAAUUGCAUUCGAUACUUGGAAGCUAGAGUAUGGGAGAGGAUGGUAGAAUUCCAGGUGUAGCGGUGAAAUGCGUAGAGAUCUGGAGGAAUACCGAUGGCGAAGGCAGCCAUCUGGCCUAAUACUGACGCUGAGGUACGAAAGCAUGGGGAGCAAACAGGAUUAGAAACCCUAGUAGUCC
rnacentral:rRNA from 1 species